rnacentral:rRNA from 1 species
GAUGAACGCUGGCGGCGUGCCUAAUACAUGCAAGUCGAGCGAACAGACGAGGAGCUUGCUCCUCUGACGUUAGCGGCGGACGGGUGAGUAACACGUGGAUAACCUACCUAUAAGACUGGGAUAACUUCGGGAAACCGGAGCUAAUACCGGAUAAUAUAUUGAACCGCAUGGUUCAAUAGUGAAAGACGGUUUUGCUGUCACUUAUAGAUGGAUCCGCGCCGCAUUAGCUAGUUGGUAAGGUAACGGCUUACCAAGGCACCGAUGCGUAGCCGACCUGAGAGGAGGAGCAGCGACACUGGAAAUGAGACACGGUCGAGAGUCGUACGGGAGGGAGAAGUCGGGAGUAUUGAACAAUGGGCGCAAGACUGAUGCAGCAAUGACGCGGGAAUGAAGAAGGCCUUCGGGUUGUAAAGUACUUUGAGCGGGGAGGAAGGGAGUAAAGCUAAUACCUUUGCUCAUGGACGUUACCCGCAGAAGAAGCACCGGCUAACUCCGUG